GUGUGUUAUUCUUUUUAUUAUUGGUGGUAAUAAUAGAAAUUAGUAAUGUCAUUUUACAAGAGAUAUCAUCAGAAUCACUGUUUUUCUACUUCUAGAAUAACCAAUAUCACCAUCUAGAUUUUCUACAUGUAGAAGAAUCUGUACAAAGUAAACAGUACUUGUGUAUAUUUCUUGUUUAUUAUAUAGUUUAGUACAAAUGUUCAAAUCCUUUUUGUAACGCUACAAAUCUCCCUGCUGUGGGAUCAAUGAAAGAUCAUCUUUUGUCAAAGAUUUCUUUUUCAAGAAAUGAAGAGAGUUAGGCAAACAAUGAAAAAAAGGAUGAUAAAGUUGUAUCACCUGAAUCCAGUCCUGCCAGAUUUACUGUCAACAUAAAUGAUACAUGUAACAGAUUGUCACACAAUGACAUUGUAUUUCACUAAAAUCCUCCAUUAGUUGUGGUUAAUGUUUACGUAUUCUCGUGCCUGUCUCUUUAAGAGCCUGCGUGUGUGUCCCUGCGGCAAUGUGCACCGAGCAUGCGUACUCUGGCCAGAGCUGUAAUCUGCAUGGCCAGAAGUGAGUCACAGUCUGAGCGCGCUCCUCUGACGGAAGUUUUUAUAAGUUAUUAUUUGUGUCUUAAGUGUGGUGUUAAGCGUUGUAGGUGAUUUUGUCUAGUGUGAAGUUAAUUUUAAGUCAUUUUCGUGAAGUUCUGUUUCCUUAAUAUGUGUUUUUAUUGCGAGGGUGGGUGUAAAGCUAACUGCUAGGCUAGCGCUAGCAGUUAGCCUCCCUUGCCAGUCUGAAUGUGUGCAUGUUUUUUUCGUCAGAGAGAGACAGAGGAGAAUUGCCGCUGAAAACACACCAGCUCAUGUGUGAUUAAUUUCAUUGAAACAGGGGACUCAGGCGUAAACAAUCGAUCCUAGCCAAAAUCGAACCAACGCCCAGCCAAUCACGUGGCGCUCCUCCGGUCAUGUGACGCAGACGGUUCACCUCACAAGACAGGGAUCAACCAGGGCUACCAGCAUGAACGACGGCGCUUCAGACCUAUGUAGCGAGGACCCGAUGCCAGGUCCAGUGGACAGACUUCAGACGUCUCUGCAUGUCCGGUCCUGUCCGGUCCUGUCUCUGGUUGCCUGGUUACAGACGCUGCUGCACCCUCACGUUUAAAAAUGUCUACACCUGAAACUCCACCACGUCUAAAGAAGCAAAAACGUUUGCAAAUGUACAGACUGGAGUGGGAAGAGUGGAACCCUGGCAAUGGAUACAAGGCAAACUGUGUUUUCUGUUGCUCAUGGACUGGCUGAAGUAAGGCAGCAUCAGGAGACAAACAUGGAGGAAAUAUGAGAACAGAGAGAACCCAACCAGCAGGUCACAGUUUAUCAUCAUCUAAUCAUCUCCUGAAGUCCAUAUGACAUCCACCAACCACUGGAACACAUCUCCAAAGUUCUGCUGGACCAGCUCAGCUUCCCCUCAGAAGAAGUUCCACCACCUGCCAGAUGAAGGAGCCUUUUGAGAGGCAGCUGGCAUCGUGAUUGGACUGUACUUUGGUCUGUUCCAAUCCAGCUUCAGCUCCAGAGACGGCAGGCGGGACGAGUCAACGGAGGCCUGGUGGACGAAGGCAUGAAGCUGAGUACAAUCCAGAAAACAACAGAGGAGGAGUGCAGCAGCCCAGAGCCAGAACAACCACAGUAGCAUCGUAUGUCUCUUAGAAAACAUCAUAGUAUAGCCUUUGGUAUGAAAAAACGCCAUCAUAUACAUCGUAUAUUGUACAAAUAACAAGUCAAAGCAAAGAGACAUACAUUGUAGAAUUGUAGUAAUUGUGGGCUGACUGAUUUACUGAUUAUCAGUAUUUUAUUUUUUUCACUGAUUUAUGGUAAUAAAUACAUUUAAAAAUGGCA